GAGCCAGAAUCGUACCGAAAGCAUCGAGGGUGUAGUUUUUCUUCCUCACACUUUUCUUACCGUUCGAUCGAGCACGCCUCGCGUUCUCAUCUGUUUCUUCUUCGCGCGUAAUAACAAAGUGUUAACAAAUCACAAUUCGAGCUUGCUCGAACAAAGUUUCUCUUUGGUAUCGAGGCAGUGUAAUCCAACGAAAGUCGUUCGGCACGCGCUGCUACAAUUCCUGCUCCUGAGUGGUGGGGGGGAAUUUGGACCCGUGAUAUGACCCUAGUGGCGUCCAAAGAAGAGAACAUCCUACCCAUCAUGCUGAGUGUGCAGCAGCAUCACCAUCACGGUCUUCACGCCACCUCGACUGCUCAAACCCAUCGCGGCAACGUGAUUGUCUCCACCGGCAGUAUGCCAGCCAAUAGCAACUCGCUGCAGCAUGGUUGCAAGCGGUCGAAAAUUUACAGCCAGGCCACCGGACCCUACGGCACGGUGCCGCAUCAACCUGCUUCAGUUGCCAGGCGAAACGCGCGAGAGCGCAACCGAGUGAAGCUGGUGAACGACGGCUUUGCCAAUCUGAGACAACGGAUACCGCAGACCGUGGCGCAGGCAUUGGGAAGCAGCACUGCCGGCACUCACGGCGGAUCCAGAGCUGGCAGCAAAAAAUUGUCCAAAGUCGAGACUCUGAGAAUGGCGGUGGAAUAUAUUAGGAGUCUUCAGCGUCUUCUGGAGGAACACGACGGCAGUUCGGAAACCAGUGGAUCCUCACCCACAUCUUCGACGUCCUCGAACUCGCCCACGUGUAGUUCUGAAAACGGCGUCACCUCCGAUUCCAGUCAUCAUCCGGCAGAAAUGAGACUGCGGGGUAGCAUGAGCACGGAGAUCCGUCAUCAUGGUAGUCCGCACGGGUCUGAUCUUCACCGGCAUCAACAACUCAGACAGAAUUCGAGUCCGACAACCUUCGUUCCGACAACGUGUUCGGAGGCAUCGAGUUCGCCAACGCCGAGCUUCGUUUCCGAAACCUCAUCGGCCGGGAGUCAAGGUUACAGCACACCCGGCACGCUUUACACAACGCAUUCAGACAGUUACGACAAUUACGAACCAAUGAGUCCGGAGGACGAGGAGUUGCUGGACGUCAUUUCCUGGUGGCAGAAUCAGUGAGAACGUCUACGUAAACAGCUUUUGCGUUCUUCUUAAGGGCAGGACUUCUUUGCAGUAAAACCGCCCUUACCUGAAAUCAUCCCUUACUUCUUUCAACUCGUAUACCUGCAGGAUUCCUUUUUUUAUCAUCACUUACCGGCGAGAGAACCGUGAUCUACUCGAAAGAAUCGAUAUCACGCUAAAGGCGUGAGCAUGUUACUUUCAGGUCGUCUACCUUCGCGUGUAAGAAACGAGAGAACGCAAAUUACAUAAUGUGUGGGUCAAUGACAAAUGAAGCAAACAAUAUAAACAAAGGUAAACUGAGAAAGCGGCUGUUGUUACGAACAAUAUGAAUAAUGUCAAUCUAGUCAAUCAUGACACUCUAUUAUACUUUGUUGUCUAUAAAUAUAGUUUUUCUAGUGUGUAAUAUUAUCAUUAAAUUAGUGUAAUAUAGUCUCUUGUUGUUCGAAACGUAAGAGGCUACAAAUUUUCUAUUUCUCUAUCUUUCAAAUAUGUAUUUUAAAAUGUGUCGAGCAUCAGUUCUACUUUGAAGUUGAAACUUUAAAGUAGAACUCAGCAUUACUUACAAAGAUGUAUAAUUUACAUUUCUUUGUAGCCUCUAGUGACUUUAUGUUUAGAACUUAUUUUUUUGUACCUUUCAUUAAUUUAUUAUUUCUUUCUUACGAUUGAAAAAUACCCCGAAAGUAUAUUCCAAGUUUUAAUUACUUACAUCAAUUUUUUAAAUAUUAUUUUUUGUUUAUAAUAUCCAAUUGCUUGUCAUAUCGGUUUUUUAAAUGUUUUUUCUUUUAUUUGGUAAAAUAA